UUGUCAUAUAACAGCCGAGUAGCCUACAGCAUAUCACGAGUAAUGCAAGAUCCUGUAAUGUAUGAUUUCCGGUAUAUCAAGAGAACAGCAACCUUUUCAUUCUGACUUUGUGUGCAACUAACAUUGAGUCAUGAAGGUUAUAUUUGCUGGAUAUGUCAAAACCGGUACGCAGUCGAUAAGAGAGGCGUUACAAAUUCUGGGUUACUCCACUUUCGACUAUUUUGACAACUUCUGGUACUUAGAGAAGGAAUGGACAAAGAUACUAACAGAGGGCGGCUCUGUAGACGACUUUUGAAAAACGUAUGAAGGUGUUGAUGCAGUAACUGGUGUUCCAUGUAAUCAAUUUUGGAAGGAACUACAUGAAGCCUUCCCUGAAGCAAAGAUUAUAUUUACAACGAAAGUCGAAAAAAAAUGGUUGAACAGCGUAGGAAGACAGUGUGAAGACUUUGAAAAGGACUUCAGUUACAUAAUAAUGCAGAUUACGACGUGAUCCGGGUGGCGAUACUUUUGCUUAUCGAACAAAAUUCGUAACAUUACACUGGGAACAUGGAGAGAUUGGCCAUGGUCAAAAUUUAUAAUGAGUCGAACGAUUCUACUGAGACUUUUUAGAACACAUAAUCAAGACGUCAUUUAGAAUGCUCCGAGAGAAAAUCUUUUACUUUUUCGCUUAAGUGACGGUUGGGGUCCACUUUGCGACUUCUUGGGUAAAACUGUUCCGGACACGCCCUUUCCUCACAAGAAUAAGGAUGCCAGUUAUCUGCAAGACGCCAGAGAUAGACACCCAGUUAUGCAACGAAUGGCGAAAGAAAUGAAAAUCACACUAACCGUGUUUAUAGCGUUGGUUUUGUUUGUAGUUUUUUACUUUAAUGUUUAAUUGAGUUAACCAGUGUUGUGACUUCUUACAUCUUUGACUGCAUAACUUCAUUCAAACUUUGGUUUAAAAUCGAAUUGUUGUUUAAACCUUUCUGUUGGCCAUGUGUUGAUAUAUAGUAGGGUGGGGA